rnacentral:lncRNA from 1 species
UUGUUCUUGUUUUUCUUCAGAUCUGAUCUUUGGGAGGCUUUAACUGAUAUGCCUGCAGUUCCCUCUACCUAGAAAGCCUUUCUUCCUUUUCACCUGAUCUCACCUUGGCCUAGGUCUCCAAUAUAGCACUUACCAUGGUGUGUAUACACACCAGGCACUCUAUUCAUAAUACUAUUCAGUAUCUGCUUAACAUGUUAUAAAAUUAUCUAUUUUUAACAAAUGCUGGACAUUGUUUUUAUUACAAGUAUAAAGACUGACAGGCUUUGGAUUUUCUCUGUUAAAAAAAAUGUUUAGAGAAAUUUUAAUACCUACCCAGAUAUUUUGCAAGAUGUUCAAAUUCAGGUUUAUUGGCAAUAAGCUCUUCUUUUGUUGGUAUGUUUAUUCCCAUAAAGCAUGGGUAUCUAAUUGGCGGUGAAGCUACUCGAAUGUGUACCUUGGAAAGAAAUCAUUUCACAUAUUAUUCUAACAUAUAUAA